AUGAACGCUAGCGGCAGGCUUAACACAUGCAAGUCGAGGGGCAGCGGGGAGUAGCAAUACUCCGCCGGCGACCGGCGCACGGGUGCGUAACGCGUAUGCAACCUACCUUUAACAGGGGCAUAACACUGAGAAAUUGGUACUAAUUCCCCAUAACAUUCGAGAAGGCAUCUUCUUGGGUUAAAAACUCCGGUGGUUAAAGAUGGGCAUGCGUUGUAUUAGCUAGUUGGUGAGGUAACGGCUCACCAAGGCGACGAUACAUAGGGGGACUGAGAGGUUAACCCCCCACAUUGGUACUGAGACACGGACCAAACUCCUACGGGAGGCAGCAGUGAGGAAUAUUGGUCAAUGGACGCAAGUCUGAACCAGCCAUGCCGCGUGCAGGAAGACGGCUCUAUGAGUUGUAAACUGCUUUUGUACUAGGGUAAACGCUCUUACGUGUAGGAGCCUGAAAGUAUAGUACGAAUAAGGAUCGGCUAACUCCGUGCCAGCAGCCGCGGUAAUACGGAGGAUCCAAGCGUUAUCCGGAUUUAUUGGGUUUAAAGGGUGCGUAGGCGGUUUGAUAAGUUAGAGGUGAAAUACCGGGGCUCAACUCCGGAACUGCCUCUAAUACUGUUGAACUAGAGAGUAGUUGCGGUAGGCGGAAUGUAUGGUGUAGCGGUGAAAUGCUUAGAGAUCAUACAGAACACCGAUUGCGAAGGCAGCUUACCAAACUAUAUCUGACGUUGAGGCGCGAAAGCGUGGGGAGCAAACAGGAUUAGAUACCCUGGUAGUCCACACCGUAAACGAUGAUUACUAGGUGUGGGGGGACUGACCCCUUCCGUGCCGGAGUUAACACAAUAAGUAAUCCACCUGGGGAGUACGGCCGCAAGGUUGAAACUCAAAGGAAUUGACGGGGGCCCGCACAAGCGGAGGAACAUGUGGUUUAAUUCGAUGAUACGCGAGGAACCUUACCCGGGCUUGAAAGUUAGUGACGAUUCUGGAAACAGGAUUUCCCUUCGGGGCACGAAACUAGGUGCUGCAUGGUUGUCGUCAGCUCGUGUCGUGAGAUGUUGGGUUAAGUCCCGCAACGAGCGCAACCCUUGCUAUUAGUUGCUACGCAAGAGCACUCUAAUAGGACUGCCGUUGACAAAACGGAGGAAGGUGGGGACGACGUCAAAUCAUCAUGCCCCUUAUGACCUGGGCUACACACGUGCUACAAUGGCGCAUACAAAGAGAAGCGACCUCGCGAGAGCAAGCGGACCUCAUAAAGUGCGUCGUAGUCCGGAUUGGAGUCUGCAACUCGACUCCAUGAAGUCGGAAUCGCUAGUAAUCGUGGAUCAGAAUGCCACGGUGAAUACGUUCCCGGGCCUUGUACACACCGCCCGUCACACCAUGAGAGUCGAUAACACCCGAAGCCUGUGAGCUAACCUAUUAGGAGGCAGCAGUCGAAGGUGGGGUUGAUGAUUGGGGUG
rnacentral:rRNA from 1 species